rnacentral:misc_RNA from 1 species
ACACCACCUCAACUCUUCAUGGUCUUCCGUGAUGAGCUUGGACUUUGGGGGUUUUGCUGGCCUGCGGUCAGCUCCUCUAAAAUGAAUCAGCUUGCCGGUGUUUGGUGGGCAUCACAGGUGUGAUAAACUAUCUACGCUUGUGGUUUUCCCACCAGGUAACCUUCAGCAGUGGAGGUGCACUGGAGCUCACAGAUGUCUCUCCCCAGUGAGGACGACCCUUUGAAU